AGAGUUUGAUCCUGGCUCAGGACGAACGCUGGCGGCGUGCUUAACACAUGCAAGUCACGGGGGCUCGCAAGAGCAACCGGCGAACGGGUGCGUAACACGUGAACAACCUGCCCUCGUGUGGGGGAUAGCCGGGCUAACGCCCGGGUAAUACCGCAUACGUUCCCUUGGGGGAGUCCCCGGGGGAGGAAAGCUCCGGCGCACGGGGAGGGGUUCGCGGCCUAUCAGCUAGUUGGCGGGGUAAUGGCCCACCAAGGCGACGACGGGUAGCUGGUCUGAGAGGAUGGCCAGCCACAUUGGGACUGAGAGACGGCCCAGACUCCUACGGGAGGCAGCAGUGGGGAAUCUUGCGCAAUGGUCGAAAGACUGACGCAGCGACGCCGCGUGUGGGAGGACGCCUUUCGGGGUGUAAACCACUGUUGCCCGGGACGAACGAGCGCUUUCGAGCGCUGUGACGGUACCGGGUGAGGAAGCACCGGCUAACUCCGUGCCAGCAGCCGCGGUAAUACGGAGGGUGCGAGCGUUGUCCGGAAUCAUUGGGCGUAAAGGGCGCGUAGGUGGCCCGGUCAGUUCGUGGUGAAAGCGCGGGGCUCAACCCUGCGUCGGCCAUGAAUACUGCCGCGGCUGGAGCACUGUAGAGGCAGGCGGAAUUCCGGGUGUAGCGGUGGAAUGCGUAGAGAUCCGGAAGAACACCGGUGGCGAAGGCGGCCUGCUGGGCAGUUGCUGACACUGAGGCGCGACAGCGUGGGGAGCAAACAGGAUUAGAUACCCUAGUAGUCC
rnacentral:rRNA from 1 species